rnacentral:lncRNA from 1 species
CAAAAGGAGAGGGCUCUACAAAGAGAGCUAUACGCCUAGGUCGUGAAGUGAUCUCUGAUUCAAGAAAAGGAGGAGGAUUUUCUUCUUCCUCCUCUUCCCUUAUCUCUGUAAUGGUCAUUUUGCUUGAUGCAAUAAUGGGUUUCUGUUUUCUACUGUGUUUUAAUCUCUCAACACUUGUGGUGGGUCUAGACUGUAGAGAAAGAGUCUUCGUGUAGUAAAGAUUAAUGAGUUUUUUUUUCGAAGGACAAAAACAAGGGUAUGCCAAAGGAACUCUUGAAUUACAAAAAGAAAAGGAAGAAGGGACAGAGGAAGGAGGAGGAGAGAGAGUAGGAAUUAUAGAGAGAGCAUAGGUGGGCAUGAUUGAUGAUUGGUGAAGGUUAAAUACAUGUAUGAAUUGGUGGUUACUUGUAGGAGAGAGAGUUGGGUUUUGGGCAUUAUUUCAAUUUGAUUUGAUUUUGAUUAAUAUAUUUCGUGGAGACAGUAGAGUCUGAGAGAGAGACAGGGGAUUCCGAGAAGAGAGGAGGAAGUGUACAAUGGAUAUUCUUUUUCAGGUUGGGGUGAAAAUGGAAUAAUCGGAAGGAGUUCAAAGUAUAUGCUUGCUAUGCUACCACCAUUGCUGACUGAUUGAGGUGAGGUCCAAAUUCUAUCCUUACACGGUAGAGGGGAUAAUUUUCAAGAUUUUAGAAUUAUCUAUUAGAGGAGACUAUAAGCCACGUUUUACAUACUACUAUAAUUAAUUUAUUUUAUUAUGUUUUUUUUACUCUGAAUUUGUAGUUGAAUUAGGGUUUAAAUACGUUUGAUUCAACAAGCCCACCCACCUGUUUAAACCAUUUAUGUUUUUGUUUGUUUCUUGGUUACACUUCCCAACAUUUGGAAAUUUAAUUUUAUGGACUAAAGAGAUGUUGAAAUAUAUUACAUGCAAUUUGCAACCCAUUUAAGUCGAAAAAUAAAAUAUAUUUAACAUCAUAUAGGAGGCUCAACAAUCUCACAAAUAAUAAUAAUAGUAAUAAUAAAUAAAAAUUAUUAAUUUUAACAUUUUAUAUUGUCAUAUAAAAUGUAUUAAAGUAUAACUGUAUAUACACACAAAAAAAACAUCUAAAUAUAUUUUGACACUAAAAAUCAAUAAUUUUUUGAAUCAAAUAAUUUUUGACUUGCGUAUGUAAGAUCCAAACUUUUUAUAAAUAAAGAUUUAAUUUCUCUAAUUAUUAUUUUGAAAUAGUAAGGGUUGAUUUGAUUAAUGUAGUUAGUUAUGGAUAAAAUGCGCAAAUAUUUCAAAUAAGCAAGUAGUUAUAAAAUAUUCAUUGUUGUCGGGGAAUAUUCGUUUGGUCGUGGAAUAUUCGUACUGUCGGGGAAUAUUCGUACGACGGCGCAGCUAUGUGUGGGCCCCAUAACAGAAAGCGAUUGGAGGAAGAAAACGACAAAAAUAAGUUGUUGUUACCGUCAAUACUGUUGGAAUACCCGGUAGUUAAAACACAGUAAUACUCGUUGUUGCACAGUAACACACGGUAUUGCACCAAUUAUUGAUUCUUACGUAAGAAGGCACUACUCAAUAAUUGUUACAGUAGUUACUGUUCAGUAUUUUAUUUUAUUGAUUCAAUAAUUACUGCUUUGAUAUUUUAUAUUACUGUUGUUUCAAUAAUUGUCACUACACAGUAUUUUCCAUUAUCGGAGCAAUAAUUCUUAUUAUCUGAAUAAUAAUAUUAGAAAAUAUUAUUGGCAAUGUCUAGAAAGUUCUGUCUAAGAAGAGGUUUGGUCACCUAAUUGCGCGCCAGUAAGGAGAAAUCUUUAUUGGAAAGCCCCCUCUUUCUUUGGAACUGCCUGAUUGUUAAUAAUGUGAUUCUGUAAUAUUAUUUAUGAAUAAUUAAUUAUUGAUAUAUAUAAUGAGAAAAAUAUUGAUUUUAUGAGGAUAUAGAUGGAGGAAAAUUUUAAUGUGACAAUUGUUGAAAAUUAAUAUUUUAUCUUUUUCUUAUAAAAUAAUUCUUUUAAAUAUAUUAUUUUUACAAUGAAUGUGGGAUAUAUGAGUAUAUGAGGAGGAAGAGUAUUUUUGUUGCAUUAAAUGUUUAACACAUGUUUUGUGUGUUGGUGGACACAAUUAUUGACCGAAAUUUGAUUAUAGCCUGUAAAAUCGCCCGUUUGUGGAUUUCGGUCAAUUUCUGUUUGGAAUUUGGAAAAACUUUCUUCUGCAAAGUUGUAGAGAAUUGAAUUUCCUAUAAAAAGUCGCGAGAUUCGAAUUUUCUGAUAAAAGGGCUAUUUAUUAUGAAUUAUUGAAGUUCCGAAGUUCCGAAAUAAUUGAUUUUUGGAAGUUUAAAAUAUUUUUAAUUACAAAAACGUUUUUUUCAUUUUUGAAACUCAUUUAACAUGUGAUUAGGAGGCUGAAUUCAGAUUGUUAGUGUGCGUAUGAAGUUGUGGAAAAAUUAUAAUAUUAAUUUAUUAAAUUUUCUACUUUGGUGUUCUAAGCAUUUUCCUAUAAAUAGGGUGCUUAGGUUAGAAUUGAAAAUCACACCAGAAACUGAAGUUUUCUCUCUCUAUAUUAUCGAGCGUAUUCUUGUGAGUAUUUUGAGUAUACUUUGAGUAUUGCUAUACGGUGCAAGUUCAAGUCAUAGCCUAUAUCCGGUGUUUCAACUAGAAGUACUGUCUUUCGAGGUAAGGGAUGUUAUUUUAUUCGAAAAUGAUAUUAUUUCUUCAAUAUCAUUAUGCCGAAAUAUUGGUUGGAAAUUUUUAUCAAAUUUGGAACUUUUUCAUGUCGGGGUUACUAUUCAUGAGUUACUAUUCACGAGUUACUAUUCAUGAGUUACUAUUCACGAGUUACUAUUCACGAGUACUAUUCACGAAGCGUGAAGAUGUUUUUUGUGAAAUUUCUAUCUUUUGGUGUCGGAGUUACUAUUCACGUAUACGGCACUAUUCACGUAUACGGCACUAUUCACGAAUACGGCACUAUUCACCGAAAAAUGAAAUUUCUUCUUUUUGUCCAAAAUAUCUAUUAUGGAUACUAGCUUUGAUUGUAUCCAUGUUUUGAUCAUUCUUGAAUUUUACACCACUAUGAUUAUUUUUGAGGUAUUUUUGGACGUGGAUAAAACAAAGUACGAAUCCUUAAUCCUUAAUCCUUGUCAUUUUGUUUCACUGGAUUCGUUUCUUUAAAAAAAUUUUUCAUCAUCCUCAGUCUUAAAUGAUGAUAUUAUUGAAUAUCUUUGGCCUGUAGUGCAAAGAUGAAUGAUUUCUGAUGAAUAUCUUUGGCCCGUAGUGCAAAGAUGAACAGGUGUUUAGAUGAACAUGACCAACUGAUGAAUAUCUUUGGCCUGUAGUGCAAAGAUGAAUAUUUGAUUCCAGAUAUAUAUUGAUUGAUGUUACAGGGAUAAAAGAUAGACGAUGAACUUUUAAAUUCAUACAUAGAAGAUAGUAGUUUGCAUUCUCUACUUAACUCUUCUAAUGAAUUAUUAUUUCCGCUGCGAAUAUUGAUUUAAAACUUGUUGUCUAUUGUAUUCUAUUAGAUUUUUCCCUGUUGAAGACUAACGAUAAUUUGUUGUAUAUUAUCUUAGUCAUAAUAUUCUUUACUGGGCUAGUUGAGCUCACCCUUUUCCUUUUUGUUCCAUUUUUCUUCUCAGGAGGCGAGAAUAUAGCGAGUACGAGUCGGGGUAUGGAAUGAAGGUUCUAGAGAGAGUUGUUUAGUAGUCCUCACCAUUUUUGUAAAAUAAUGUAUCAAUAAAUGUGAUGAGGAUUUAUUUGAGUAUAGAUAUUGUCUAGAAGAUAAUAUUUGUAUUCAAACUCACAGUUUUACUGUUGUAAUAAUAAAGUUGUAGUUGUUUCUGUACCAUGUAUUGACAACUCAGAAUGGGUGAUGUAUACCUAUUUUGGGGGCGUCACAGUUGGUAUCAGAGCUUAGGGAUAUGAUCUCUGGCGGAGAUCGGGGAAUAGAACUAGGAGGGGAGAGACGAGUAAAUCCUUCGCUAGUGUGUCCUACCUAAGCUUAUUUGUUAGUUGGUCAGUAUAUAGGGAUAUUAUGUGAUAUAUUGAUUUCCUUAAUUAACCCUUGUUUUAUGACAGUAUUUGAGAAUGUCGACUGAGAAUAUUAACAGUGGAAAUGAGACCGUGGAGACGCCUGUACUCACCAACGAGGAGAACGUGCAACAGGCUGGCAAUGUUCCUCCUGUGAACAACACCACUGAGCAGAUGAUGAACGAGGGGAUGUUUAGAAGCUUUUUGCAGUUCAUGCAAAAUCAGACGAGGGAGACUCGUGUUCAAAAUACAGGAGGAAAUGAUAGCAAUUCACGGGUUGUCACAGCCAAGCAGUUCAAAGAGUUGGGACCACCAGAAUUUAAGGGAAAGCCAGAUCCGAUCAUGGCGGAAACAUGGGUCAAGCAAAUUACCAAGAUAUUCGAUGUCUUGGGAUGCACGGAGGAACAGAAGGUUCCAUUCGCCACCUUUAUGUUCCGUGGCGAGGCAGAUUACUGGUGGGAGUUUGUGAAACGGACCCAGCCUGCCACACUCCACAUGUCUUGGGAAACGUUUCAAAAACUUUUCAACGAAAAAUACUUUCCUGAAAGUAUUCGCCAUAUGAAAGAGGUAGAGUUUAUUAGACUAGAACAAAACAACAUGACGGUGUCCCAAUACGAGGCGAAGUUCGUAGAGUUAUCCAGGUUUGCACCUCAUUUGGUAGAGAAUGAGGAACGAAUGACGAGGAUGUUUAUGAGAGGUUUAAAACCCGAGAUUCGGCAAUAUCUUAUCUCUCAUAAAUUUUCUUUAUAUUCAGAUGUUGUAAACAGGGCUCAAUUAUUGGAGCGAGAUAACGAGUACGGUCAAUCGAGGGUCCACAACCAGGAUCAUACCGGGGAUAGCAGUCAACAAAACAACGAUAACCAACGGAGAAAGAAAAAGACAGACAAAAAUGGUAACCACUCUGGUGGUAAUCAUGGUCAUGAAAACAAAAGAAGCGAGUCAGGAGGAGAUUUUAAAAAGAGGAGAUUUAACAACAACCAUGUGAAGACGACAGUGCCGGCAGCAACUGGUUCUAAGGGAGGAGAACGACCACNNNNNNNNNNNNNNNNNNNNNNNNNNNNNNNNNNNNNNNNNNNNNNNNNNNNNNNNNNNNNNNNNNNNNNNNNNNNNNNNNNNNNNNNNNNNNNNNNNNNUUAAGAUGCCUACAUUAGCUAAAAACAUAAUACAUGCCAAUAUAUACGUUCUCCAUAUAUGGAAUCCAUCUCCAAAGACGUAGUCAAUGACUCUAUGAUGAUAAUAUAUUAUGGCGGCGGUAAAAACCACCAUACAUUUGAUAAAACAACAUAAAUCAACUUACAGUGACAAGAACAUGUUAAAAAUAACUUUUUUAAUUAUUGCUGGUAAAAAUUGGCAACGAUUUUAGAACAAUAACAUAAAACGAUACAGCUACUGAACUACAUCAUUUAGUACAGCAAUGCCGUGCCAUUGCUAAGAAAAGCACCAAACUAGUUUCAAAAAACUAGAGGGGGAUACACAGACAUUAUAAUUUACAAAGAAAUCCUCAAAAUUGCACCUAACUAAAAUUCCUACCAACUUAUUUAAUGGACAGCGUCUCAUCAAAGUAUCAAGGUCACAAAAAAGGUCAUUGUUUAACCUCAAAUUUGAAGUCAACUCCUCUAACACAAUAAAGCUUCAACCAACUCAAAAUCAAAACACAAGCUUCAUCAGCAACAAGAGCAAAUAGAAUUGAUUAUGAUGGAAUAAAAUGUACUAAAAUUAAUUUGUAACUAAUAAAAAAAAGCAGAUUUAGACACUCACGCAAAAGGAGAGGGCUCUACAAAGAGAGCUAUACGCCUAGGUCUUGAAGUGAUCUCUGAUUCAAGAAAAGGAGGAGGAUUUUCUUCUUCCUCCUCUUCCCUUAUCUCUGUAAUGGUCAUUUUGCUUGAUGCAAUAAUGGUUUUCUGUUUUCUACAGUGUUUUAAUCUCUCAACACUUGUGCUGGGUCUAGACUGUAGAGAAAGAGUCUUCGUAUAGUAAAGAUUAAUGGGUUUUUUUUUCGAAGGACAAAAACAAGGGUAUGCCAAAGGAACUCUUGAAUUACAAAAAGGAAAGGAAGAAGGGACAGAGGAAGGAGGAGGAGGAGAGAGAGUAGGAUUUAUAGAGAGAGCAUAGGUGGGCAUGAUUGAUGAUUGGUGAAUGCUAAAUACAUGUAUGAAUUGGUGGUUACUUGUAGGAGAGAGAGUUGGGUUUUGGGCAUUAUUUCAAUUUGAUUUGAUUAAUAUAUUUCGUGGAGACAGCAGAGUUUGAGAGAGAGACAGGGGAUUCCGAGAAGAGAGGAGGAAUGGAUAUUCUUUUUCAGGUUGGGGUGAAAAUGGAAUAAUCGGAAGGAGUUCAAAGUAUAUGCUGCUACCACCAUUGCUGACUGAUUGAGGUGAGGCCCAAAUUCUAUCCUUACACGGUAGAGGGGAUAAUUUUCAAGAUUUUAGAAUUAUCUAUUAGAGGAGACUAUAAGCCACAUUUUACAUACUAUAAUUAAUUUAUUUUAUUAUGUUUUUUUUUUUACUCUGAAUUUGUAGUUGAAUUAGGGUUUAAAUACGUUUGAUUCAACAAGCCCACCUGUUUAAACCCUUUAUGUUUUUGUUUGUUUCUUGGUAACACUUCCCAACAUUUGGAAAUUUAAUUUUAUGGUCUAAAGAGAUGUUGAAAUAUAUAUUACAUGCAAGUUGCAACCCAUUUAAGUCGAAAAAUAAAAUACAUUUAACAUCAUAUAGGAGGCUCAACAAUCUCACAAAUAAUAAUAAUAAUAAAUAAAAAUUAUUAAUUUUAUAUUUCGUGUAUAUAUUGUCAUAUAAAAUGUAUUAGAGUAUAACUGUAUAUACACACAAAAAAAACAUCUAAAUAUAUUUUAACACUAAAAAUCAAUAAAUUUUUGAAUCAAAUAAUUUUUGACUUGCGUAUAUCAUUAAUAUAUAUAUAUAUAUAUAUAUAUAUAUAUAUAUAUAUAUAUAUAUAUAUAUUGAAGAGGUUUGGUCAAUAUGGAAUUCCUACUAUGUGUUCUGUAAUAAGGUGGCAUUGAGUUUUCAUUUCACAAUUUUAAUAUUACUCGUAUGCUAUGCUUGUUUGCAAUGAUUAUAUUUGGGGUAGAAUUAUUAAUCUCAAGUAUUUUUGUUUGUUUUCAAAUUUAGACUUGGGACUAUUAGUCUCGAGAUUAUAAAAUGGCUUAAUAGUCUUAAUAUUAUAAUUAUAAUUUCUGGAUUAUAAUUCUAGAAUUAAUAGUCUUAAAAUUAUAAUUCCAUAAAUUAUAAUCUCGAAAUUAUAAUCCUUACAAACAAACAUAAUUCUAAACUCAUUCCCUUAUUUAAACUAAACUAUGACUCAAGUUCUUAUUUCUUCAAUAUUACUCUCUUUACAAAUUAUUUUCCACUUCACCAUUACAAGCUGAACAAUACUCUUGAUAUACAUUUAUCAUUAAUUUCGCAUAUAUAUAAAUAUAAAAAAGAAAAAGAAAAAUGUUAUGUUACUUUUUCAAAAGUUGUAAUAAGUUUACGUGGAGUUAAAAUUUUAAUACAUUAACCGACCGUAUAUACAAGAACGGUGUUAAAAUCAUACAGGUCAUCAAAAUAAAAAUAAUUUUAUACAACUUAAAUAUUUUAUUAAUAAUAUAUAAUAGUUCUAACACCACUUGUGAUUAUAUCGCUAGUGUAUAAAAUUUUAACUCGUUCACAUGUUCAAAUGAGAUUAAACGUAGAGUACAUGUAUAAUUUUGGGACAUAAAAUUAAGAGUGUAAAUGAACCGAGUCGAACUAUAUAUUGAGUAUAAAAUAAAAUUUGAUUGAGGCUCAUUUAGCUAUCGAGUCUAACACGAUUCCGAAUCUAGUCUGAACAGUUUGAAUUUUUCUAACGAAUAUGGUCCGAGUAUCAAAUUUGGGGAGGUUCGAGUAAUUUAUCAAACUUUAAAAUUUACUCAUAUUUAACUUAUUUAUAUUCCGAGUCGAGAGUCGAACUCAAUCAAACUUUUAGUCAAACGAGUAUGAAUUGAACCCGAACUAUUUGUACAUUCUCUUGGAUAUGGUUAUGGGGACAUAAUACUUUUGGAAUUAUCUCACAUAAGAGUAUAAAGAUGGACCGUUGGUACUUAUUGCAUUCAACUCAAGUAUGAAAUGUUAAGAGACGUAAUUUAAAAAUUAAUACAUUGAACAUGCAAUUAGGUGCGUGUGGUU